AUUGAACGCUGGCGGCAUGCCUUACACAUGCAAGUCGAACGGCAGCGCGGGAGCAAUCCUGGCGGCGAGUGGCGAACGGGUGAGUAAUAUAUCGGAACGUGCCCAGUAGUGGGGGAUAGCCCGGCGAAAGCCGGAUUAAUACCGCAUACGACCUGAGGGUGAAAGCGGGGGAUCGCAAGACCUCGCGCUAUUGGAGCGGCCGAUAUCAGAUUAGCUAGUUGGUGGGGUAAAGGCCUACCAAGGCAACGAUCUGUAGUUGGUCUGAGAGGACGACCAGCCACACUGGGACUGAGACACGGCCCAGACUCCUACGGGAGGCAGCAGUGGGGAAUUUUGGACAAUGGGCGCAAGCCUGAUCCAGCAAUGCCGCGUGCAGGAAGAAGGCCUC
rnacentral:rRNA from 1 species